CGUUAGAAGUUUGAGAGGAGCUGUCCUUAGUACGAGAGGACCGGGAUGGACGCACCGCUGGUGCACCAGUUGUUCCGCCAGGAGCAUAGCUGGGUAGCUACGUGCGGAAGGGAUAAGUGCUGAAAGCAUCUAAGCAUGAAGCCCCCCUCAAGAUGAGACUUCUCAUCAUUUUAAAUGAGUAAGAUCCCUCAGAGACGAUGAGGUAGAUAGGUUCGAGGUGGAAGCGUGGUGACACGUGCAGCUGACGAAUACUAAUCGAUCGAGGACUUAACUAAAA
rnacentral:rRNA from 1 species